AACCUACGGGGCGCAGCAGUGGGGAAUAUUGGGCAAUGGGCGCAAGCCUGACCCAGCAACGCCGCGUGAAGGAAGAAGGCUUUCGGGUUGUAAACUUCUUUUCUUGGGGACGAAGAAAGUGACGGUACCCAAGGAAUAAGCCACGGCUAACUACGUGCCAGCAGCCGCGGUAAUACGUAGGUGGCAAGCGUUAUCCGGAUUUAUUGGGUGUAAAGGGCGUGUAGGCGGGAUUGCAAGUCAGAUGUGCAAACCACG
rnacentral:rRNA from 1 species